CCCCUGCAGGAAGAAGGGCAAACGCAGGAGUGGGUUAGCACCAGAGGCUGGUUCAUGGGCCACUUGCACGCUUCCAGCACAGAGCUACCCUCCAAGAGACAGAGGGUGCAGAAGAGAAGGGUGGCGAGAGGGCCCGCACUCUCCAGAAAUGCCACUUCUCACUGUGGGGUGGCGUCAUGGUUCCCUGCCCUUGGCACCCAGGUGACAGAUGAGUGAGAGCCACCAGAGAAAUAUACACCCCUUUUCCUAAUUCCAGUGGCUGACCAGAGGGAGACAGACCAUAACCAUAAAUUCAGGAAAAGAAAGGGAUUUCAGAGAGUGUCUCACCGUGCUUCCAGCAAAGCCUGGAUGAUUCCAGCCCAGGACAGAAUAUCCAGCUGCAACACAGGAGGAGGAGGAGGGGCUAUGACCUUGUGGCCCACACCUCCCCCACCUCCAGCCCCGGGGGAAAGGCCAACACAAUAUGGGAGCUCUAAACAACCCCAAAUUUAGAGCAGAUCACCUACGGAAGGAAGCAGGAAGAAGGGCUGGGAAGGAGCCAAGCUGGGACUGAAAAUCCCCUGUGUGGCAGGACGUGGGAGCUUUACAGGGAAGAGGAAAGGGCCUGUUGUCUUCAACGGGAAUAGAAACUUCUAAUUUUACAAGGUGCAUGAGAGGCAGAGUGGAUGCAAAAGCUUAGCAAACUGAGGAAGACGAACUGCUCGACCACUCAGCAGUGUCGUUUUCCUUGGAAGACCACCGGAGGACAGCUCUCAGAAAUGGGGUUAUGGAUAUUUUUUUCCUGUCUAGUUUUUGGGUCUAUUUUUUUCAUGACUGUUUCUUUUGUGUGGCAUGCCAAUCACUUUCCAUCUCUGGGCCUCAGACUUAGAGUCAGAUAAACUUUAAUUUCAUGGGGCCCCGAGCCCAAACUCAGAGAUGGUGGAGCUUGCAUGGAUUCUCAUAGCAGCUGGGCAGUGCCGGAACCAGGAGUCAGCUCCCUGGACUGCUGACUCAGUGCUCUUUCCAUGGCUCCCUCAUGGAGGCAGGAUAUACUGGAGGCCAGGCUACCUGGGUUCAAAUCCCAGCUCUCUCACUUACUGUGUGGUCUGGGAAAAUUAUCCCAGGCUCAGUUUCAUCAUCUGUAAAAUGGGCUCUCCUAAAAAUAGUACCUCUUCUGCAGGGUUGUUUUGAGGAUUAAAUAUAUGCCUUCUAUGUGAUAAA